UACGUAGGGUGCAAGCGUUGUCCGGAAUUAUUGGGCGUAAAGAGCUCGUAGGCGGUUUGUCGCGUCGAAUGUGAAAUCCCGGGGCUCAGCCCCGGGCCUGCAUUCGAUACGGGCAGACUAGAGUUCGGUAGGGGAGUCUGGAAUUCCUGGCGUAGCGGUGAAAUGCGCAGAUAUCAGGAGGAACACCGGUGGCGAAGGCGGGACUCUGGGCCGAUACUGACGCUGAGGAGCGAAAGCGUGGGGAGCAAACAGG
rnacentral:rRNA from 1 species